rnacentral:lncRNA from 10 species
ACAGAUAAAAAAAUUAUAACAGCACUGAAAUGAUCAUCAGCAUGUUUCUUCAUUCCUAUUAUAGAAAUGAUUUUUAUUCUAGGCUAUUCACAUACUGGUAUUAAAUCUAGUAUUCUUUAGUACUGUUUUGGUAUACAUAUACAAAAUUUACUCUACAUAUGUUUUUCACUCCAAUUUUAUUGUGUGCAUCAUUAACUAACAACAAUUCUAUUUGCUUUCUACUAAGCAUAAAAUAAGAAUUCAUAAUGAAAUAAAACCUACCCCAAAGAUCCAUUCUUAUCAUUGAUUUAAAAUUGAAUGUCUUUACCAUCCAAAAAAUUAGAGGUUCAAACAAUGAUAGUUAAGUACAUAUAUGUGGUACAAAUUACAAUGGAAAACAACAAUGAUUUCCUGAUAAAAGCUGUAAGUUCCUAAUUAUAAAUAGAGGUAAUAAAUUCUUCACAUGAAAUACCAUAGGAUGAACUAUCAUAAAAUAUACCUACAUAUAUAUGUGAAAUAUACUCGGCUUCAUAAUUUGUGGUCAAUGUUGUUAUUCACACACAUGCACACAUAUACCCACACACAUAUAUGUGUGUGUGUGUGUAUAGAUAGAUAGAUAGAUAGAUAGAUAGAUAGAUGACUUUUCUAGGUAUCUGUUUUGAAAUUAUUCAAAUAUAUACACUAAGGAAAAACGAAUGGAAAUAUA